rnacentral:tRNA from 1 species
UAGUCUAGUGGAUAAGGCUUUGGAUCGCCAAUCCGGAGACGGCGGGUUCGAUUCCCGU